rnacentral:Y_RNA from 1 species
GGCUGGUCCGAUGGCAGUGGGUUAUCAGAACUUAUUAACAUUAGUGUCACUAAAGUUGGUAUACCACCCCCCCACACACACACACAGCUAAAUUUGACUGGCUUUAA